GUCUACAGUCAUACCACCCUGAACACUCCCAAUCUCUUUUGGUCUCAGAAGCUAAGCAGGGUUGAGAUUGGUUAGUACUUGAAUGGGAGAAAAUAAGAAAGGAAAUCUGACAUUUUAAUGG
rnacentral:rRNA from 1 species